GACGUAGGGCGCAAGCGUUGUCCGGAAUUAUUGGGCGUAAAGAGCUCGUAGGCGGCUUGUUGCGUCGACUGUGAAAAACCACGACUCAACCGUGGGACUGCAGUCGAUACGGGCAGGCUAGAGUUCGGUAGGGGAGACUGGAAUUCCUGGUGUAGCGGUGAAAUGCGCAGAUAUCAGGAGGAACACCGGUGGCGAAGGCGGGUCUCUGGGCCGAUACUGACGCUGAGACGCGAAAGCGUGGGGAGCGAACAGG
rnacentral:rRNA from 1 species